AAGUCGUAACAAGGUUUCCGUAGGUGAACCUGCGGAAGGAUCAUUCUUGAGACACACUUGUCUUGUCACACUCACUGUGUUGUUGUUCUUUGCUCUCACUUGGUUGCCCUUAAGUGGGCAGCCAUUUGUGUAUGUCAAACUUACUUUGAUUUUACCUCUAGUCAACAUCACUGCAACAGCAGUGAGGUAUUAACAACAAAACACACAUAACUGUUGGCAACGGAUCACUCGGCUCUUGU
rnacentral:misc_RNA from 1 species